AUAACGGUCCUAAGGUAGCGAAAUUCCUUGUCGGGUAAGUUCCGACCCGCACGAAUGGCGUAACGAUGGCCACACUGUCUCCUCCCGAGACUCAGCGAAGUUGAAGUGGUUGUGAAGAUGCAAUCUACCCGCUGCUAGACGGAAAGACCCCGUGAACCUUUACUGUAGCUUUGCAUUGGACUUUGAAGUCACUUGUGUAGGAUAGGUGGGAGGCUUAGAAGCAGAGACGCCAGUCUCUGUGGAGCCGUCCUUGAAAUACCACCCUGGUGUCUUUGAGGUUCUAACCCAGACCCGUAAUCCGGGUCGGGGACCGUGCAUGGUAGGCAGUUUGACUGGGGCGGUCUCCUCCCAAAGAGUAACGGAGGAGUUCGAAGGUUACCUAGGUCCGGUCGGAAAUCGGACUGAUAGUGCAAUGGCAAAAGGUAGCUUAACUGCGAGACCGACAAGUCGAGCAGGUGCGAAAGCAGGACAUAGUGAUCCGGUGGUUCUGUAUGGAAGGGCCAUCGCUCAACGGAUAAAAGGUACUCCGGGGAUAACAGGCUGAUUCCGCCCAAGAGUUCAUAUCGACGGCGGAGUUUGGCACCUCGAUGUCGGCUCAUCACAUCCUGGGGCUGUAGUCGGUCCCAAGGGUAUGGCUGUUCGCCAUUUAAAGUGGUACGUGAGCUGGGUUUAAAACGUCGUGAGACAGUUUGGUCCCUAUCUGCUGUGGGCGUUGGAGAUUUGACGGGGGCUGCUCCUAGUACGAGAGGACCGGAGUGGACACACCUCUGGUGUACCUGUUGUCACGCCAGUGGCAUCGCAGGGUAGCUAAGUGUGGAAGAGAUAACCGCUGAAAGCAUCUAAGCGGGAAACUUGCCUGAAGAUGAGAUCUCCCUGGGGACUCGAUCCCCCUGAAGGGUCGUCCAAGACCAGGACGUUGAUAGGCCGGGUGUGGAAGCGCAGUAAUGCGUGCAGCUAACCGGUACUAAUUGCCCGUGAGGCUUGACCCU
rnacentral:rRNA from 1 species